AAUGAACGCUGGCGGCGCGCCUAAUACAUGCAAGUCGAGCGAGAAGACGUAGCAAUACGUUUGUAAAGCGGCGAACGGGUGAGGAAUACAUGGGUAACCUACCCUCGAGUGGGGAAUAACUAGCCGAAAGGUUAGCUAAUACCGCGUACGCUCCUUGGACUUCGGUUCAGGGAGGAAAGCGAUACCGUGGGUAUCGCGCUCUUGGAUGGGCUCAUGUCCUAUCAGCUUGUUGGUGAGGUAACGGCUCACCAAGGCUUCGACGGGUAGCUGGUCUGAGAGGACGAUCAGCCACACUGGCACUGCGACACGGGCCAGACUCCUACGGGAGGCAGCAGUAAGGAAUAUUGCGCAAUGGGCGAAAGCCUGACGCAGCGACGCCGCGUGGGGGA
rnacentral:rRNA from 1 species